rnacentral:rRNA from 1 species
UACGAAGGGGCUAGCGUUGCUCGGAAUCACUGGGCGUAAAGCGCACGUAGGCGGUUUCUUAAGUCAGGGGUGAAAUCCUGGAGCUCAACUCCAGAACUGCCUUUGAUACUGGGAGACUUGGAGUCCGGGAGAGGUGAGUGGAACUGCGAGUGUAGAGGUGAAAUUCGUAGAUAUUCGCAAGAACACCAGUGGCGAAGGCGGCUCACUGGCCCGGUACUGACGCUGAGGUGCGAAAGCGUGGGGAGCAAACAGGAUUAGAA